CAAGUGCGUGCGGUAAGGCCCUUUCGGGGGUACACGAGCGGCGAACGGGUGAGUAACACGUGGGUGACCUGCCCUCCACUCUGGGAUAAGCCUGGGAAACUGGGUCUAAUACCGGAUAGGACACGUUGAUGCAUGUCUUCGUGUGGAAAGUUUUUUCGGUGGGGGAUGGGCCCGCGGCCUAUCAGCUUGUUGGUGGGGUGAUGGCCUACCAAGGCGGUGACGGGUAGCCGGCCUGAGAGGGCGACCGGCCACACUGGGACUGAGACACGGCCCAGACUCCUACGGGAGGCAGCAGUGGGGAAUAUUGCGCAAUGGGCGGAAGCCUGACGCAGCGACGCCGCGUGGGGGAUGACGGCCUUCGGGUUGUAAACCUCUUUCGCCAGGGACGAAGCUUUGGUGACGGUACCUGGAGAAGAAGCACCGGCCAACUACGUGCCAGCAGCCGCGGUAACACGUAGGGUGCGAGCGUUGUCCGGAAUUAUUGGGCGUAAAGAGCUCGUAGGCGGUGUGUCGCGUCGGCCGUGAAAACUUGGGGCUUAACUCUGAGCGUGCGGUCGAUACGGGCAUCACUUGAGUUCGGCAGGGGAGACUGGAAUUCCUGGUGUAGCGGUGAAAUGCGCAGAUAUCAGGAGGAACACCGGUGUCAAAGUCGGGUCUCUGGAGCGUUACAUACCCU
rnacentral:rRNA from 1 species